ensembl:miRNA Gm25640 predicted gene, 25640
GUUUCUCUGUGUAGCCCUGGCUGUCCUGGAACUCACUCUGUAGACCAAGCUGGCCUUGAACUCAGAAAUCCACCUGCCUCUGCCUCCCGAGUGCUGGGAUUAAAGGCAUACGCCACCAAUGCCCG